rnacentral:rRNA from 1 species
UACGUAGGGUGCGAGCGUUGUCCGGAAUUAUUGGGCGUAAAGAGCUCGUAGGCGGUCUGUCGCGUCGGUCGUGAAAACUUGGGGCUUAACCCUGAGCUUGCGGUCGAUACGGGCAUGACUGGAGUUCGGCAGGGGAGACUGGAAUUCCUGGUGUAGCGGUGAAAUGCGCAGAUAUCAGGAGGAACACCGGUGGCGAAGGCGGGUCUCUGGGCCGAUACUGACGCUGAGGAGCGCAAGCGUGGGGAGCGAACAGG